GACGAACGCUGGCGGCGUGCCUAAUACAUGCAAGUUGAGCGCUGAAGGUUGGUACUUGUACCAACUGGAUGAGCAGCGAACGGGUGAGUAACGCGUGGGGAAUCUGCCUUUGAGCGGGGGACAACAUUUGGAAACGAAUGCUAAUACCGCAUAAAAACUUUAAACACAAGUUUUAAGUUUGAAAGAUGCAAUUGCACCACUCAAAGAUGAUCCCGCGUUGUAUUAGCUAGUUGGUGAGGUAAAGGCUCACCAAGGCGAUGAUACAUAGCCGACCUGAGAGGGUGAUCGGCCACAUUGGGACUGAGACACGGCCCAAACUCCUACGGGAGGCAGCAGUAGGGAAUCUUCGGCAAUGGACGAAAGUCUGACCGAGCAACGCCGCGUGAGUGAAGAAGGUUUUCGGAUCGUAAAACUCUGUUGGUAGAGAAGAACGUUGGUGAGAGUGGAAAGCUCAUCAAGUGACGGUAACUACCCAGAAAGGGACGGCUAACUACGUC
rnacentral:rRNA from 1 species